AUAGCGAAAGCUAGUUGUAUUAACUUCGACUCAUUUGAAGUUAAUGCAACAUCGACUAUGUCGAAUAAAGUUCUAGAGAGAGUUAUGAUAAUGACAUUUUCUAUCUAUGUGUCUUGACCAAGUCACGUGCCAGCAGUCGCGGUAAUACGUGGAAGACUAGUGUUAUUCAUCUUUAAUAGGUUUAAAGGGUACUUAGACGGUAAAUUUAGCCCAAAUAAAAAACAAAGGGUACUAAUUAUACUAGAGUUUAAUGAGAGGGGGAAGGUGUAGUAGUGGUGUAGAGAUGAAAUUCUGUCAUACCGUUACGACAGGCAACGGCGAAAGCAACCCUUUAUGUAAAAACUGACGUUAAAGGACGAAGGCUUUGCGUCAUCAACAGGAUUAGAUACCCAAGCAGUCUUAGCAGACAAUUAUGAAUGCCAUAAAUAAGAAAAAUAUUAUUUCUUGUUCUCUUUUUUAUCUUCACAGGUAACUUAGAAGAAUCAAAACAAAAAAAAAAUAAAAAAAUAACUAAAAAAAAGCAUUCUUUUUCUUCUUCCCACAAAAAAGUAAAAAGGAUUCUUCUGUUUAAAAAAGGAUAUUUAUUUUUG
rnacentral:rRNA from 1 species